ACGGGACAUCAACGUUACAUAUCGAACAAAAAUUAUUUAAUGGUUUUAUAAGAUUGAAUAAUCUUUUAUAUUUUCAAUAUAAGAAUGACAUAUUGUCUGUUAUAGCAGAAUAGUAUUCUAUACAUAGAUAAUUUUAAGAACAAAUGAGCUUAUUAGGUAUAACAAAAGAAAAACCAUCCAGAACUAUGGCGUUUGUUAGUUUGAGAAGUAGUUUAAGGAUAAUGUGGACGGUGACGGCAACACUGGUCUUACUGACAAGGAGUAGUGCUGCACCCGCUUAUGGUGAUACCAACGGUGCAAUGCCUGAUUAUGACGUGAACUUCCAGAUGUACCUGGCUCAAUAUGGCUACCUCAGUCCGUCUGUACGGAACCCUUCCAGUGGUCACAUAAUGGACGAAAGUACGUGGAAAAAAGCUAUCUCCGAGUUCCAGAGUUUCGCCGGAUUAAAUAGUACAGGUGAAUUGGACGAGGAAACAGUCAAGCUAAUGUCACUGCCAAGGUGUGGUGUUAAAGACAAAGUAGGCUUCGGCGAAAGCCGGGCUAAGCGAUACGCGCUUCAAGGCUCAAGAUGGCGCGUGAAGAACCUUACAUACAAGAUCUCUAAGUACCCAUCUAGACUGAAUCACGCAGAGGUUGAUACUGAGUUGGCAAAGGCGUUCGCUGUUUGGUCCGAUUUCACGGACCUUACUUUUACUCAGAAACGUUCCGGACAAGUUCAUAUUGAAAUUAGGUUUGAAAAGGGCGAGCACGGCGACGGCGAUCCCUUUGACGGCCCUGGCGGCACCCUUGCUCACGCUUAUUUUCCUGUAUACGGUGGUGAUGCUCACUUCGACGACGCUGAAAUGUGGUCCAUAAAUUCCAGGAGGGGUACCAAUCUUUUUCAAGUAGCAGCCCACGAGUUUGGUCAUUCUCUAGGACUUUCUCAUAGUGAUGUUCGGUCUGCUUUGAUGGCACCCUUCUACAGAGGCUACGAUCCCGCUUUCCAACUUGACCAGGACGACAUAACGGGGAUACAGGCGCUGUACGGUCAUAAAACACAAGUCGAUAUUGGCGGAAGUCUGCCAAACCCCACGGUGCCAAGGGUCACUACUCCACAGCCAACCGCCGAAGACGCUGCAUUGUGUUCUGACUCAAACAUUGAUACUAUCUUUAACUCUGCCGACGGUUCUACUUUUGUCUUCAAAGGUGAAAACUACUGGCGAUUGACGGAGAAUGGCGUAGCAGCUGGCUAUCCUCGCCCCAUCGCUCGUUCAUGGCCCGGUCUGCCCGGAAAUAUCGAUGCUGCUUUUACUUACAAGAACGGAAAGACCUACUUCUUCAAGGGCUCCAAAUACUGGCGGUAUAAUGGACAGAAGGUGGAUGGCGAUUACCCGAAAGAAAUUAGUGAAGGAUUCACUGGUAUCCCAGACAAUAUAGACGCUGCAUUAGUUUGGUCCGGCAAUGGCAAGAUCUACUUCUACAAAGGCUCGAAGUUCUGGAGGUUCGAUCCCGCUCAACGUCCUCCUGUAAAAUCAACGUAUCCCAAGCCGUUGUCGAACUGGGCAGGAAUACCGGAUAAUAUCGAUGGAGCGUUGCAGUACACUAAUGGAUAUACUUACUUCUUCAAGGGUGGAUCAUACUGGCGGUUUAAUGAUAGAACUUUCAGUGUGGACACCGAUAACCCUGCAUUCCCAAGGUCCACUGGUUACUGGUGGUUGGGUUGUAGUAGUGCGCCACGCGGUACCGUUGGAGGUAAUGCGCAUCUGUCUAUCCCUGCACACUACGCACAUGACGACGAUGAUGACGACGUGGGCGAUAUUAAAUUCGACGCAGUUGUCAGCGUUCAGUCAAGUGGAGCUAGACUGUAGUAUGUACUUGGAGCUCAGAAAUAUUAGGAGGGCACGAAACGUCCUCCGCCGCGCCACCAAUCACCCGCAUCAUGCGGGACACGCGCCGGAAGGCGGUAGCGGCGCGGCAAGCGAUCGGCAGCCUCUCACACUCCUGGUCGCCUCGGUCUGCUCUCUGUUGGUGUUAAGGACACUCUCGCGUGCGUAGCGCCGGCCACCGCGUCUCCUCUGUGAAUGUGUGUAGUGUGCCUGACCGCGUUCGGUAUAUUGUGUAUAGCGAACGCCAUGUUGUGAUGUAUGAUCUUUUAUACUGUUGCGAGGACGAUAAUUUAAUUCGAAGUCAUAGUUUUUAUACCUAAUAUAAAUAGAUGAUGUAAGUUCGAGUGUGAUAUUGACGUAAGCGAAGAUUUUUGUAUUAAAAAUAUUUGAUGAUAA